GAAGUAGAAGGUCUUUUAUGCUAAUUGACAGACGUAAGGGGCCGCGUGAAU
ensembl:ncRNA T08G2.8 ncRNA